GUGUUGAUAGAUGAAACUCAGGAAGGGGUAAAUGCAAAGCUUAACCUUUGGAGAGAAGUGUUGGAAUCUAAAGGUCUGCGCCUAAGCCGAUCAAAGACAGAAUAUAUGGAGUGCAAGUUCAGUGCAAAUGGAGGCCAAAACGAGUUAGGGGUGAGGAUCGGAGAUCAAGAAAUACCAAAGAGCGACCGUUUUCGUUACCUAGGAUCUAUCUUGCAAAAGAACGGAGAAUUAGAUGGAGAUCUCAACCAUAGAAUACAAGCUGGGAUGGAUGAAGUGGAAGAGUGCAUCCGGCGUGUUGUGUGACCGCCGUAUGCCACUGAAGCUCAAGGGAAAAUUUUAUAGGACGGCAAUAAGGCCGGCGAUGCUGUAUGGCACAGAAUGUUGGGCGGUGAAACAUCAACACGUACACAAAAUGGGUGUAGCAGAGAUGAGGAUGCUUCGUUGGAUGUGUGGGCACACGAGAAAGGAUAAGAUUAGGAAUGAGGAUAUCCGGGGUAAAGUAGGAGUAGCCGAAAUUGAAGGAAAGAUGAGAGAAAAUCGGUUACGGUGGUUUGGACAUGUGCAAAGAAGGCCUACUGAUGCUCCGAUUAGAAGAUGCGACUAUGGGACAGAGGUUCAGGGCCGAAGGGGUAGAGGAAGACCUAGGAAAACUUUGGAAGAGACUCUAAGAAAAGACUUAGAGUACUUGGAUCUAACGAAGGACAUGACACAGGAUCGAGCACAAUGGCGUUCUAAGAUUCAUAUAGCCGAUCCCACUCAGUGACUUGGAUUUUCCAAGUCUCCAACCAAGAAGUUUUCCUCACUCGGGAAAUUAAGGGAACACUACCCCAACCUACAUGCUCCACUCAGAAAGCUUCAACAUACAAGCUUCAACAAAAGAAAAUUCAAAGAACUUAGCGAAGAAGGCUUUGGUGUAUUUAACACAAUACGUUGAAAUGAAGGAAAGCUUAUUUAUUGAUAUCCCCGAUAAGCUACAAAUAUGUACAUAUACAUGAGUCAAAAUAAACACACAAGAGGGAGCCUUCACAAAGGUUGCUUAGGAGAAGUCUUAGCAGUCGGUAGAGCCCCAGAAAGAGAAGGCACCGGAGGGGGAUCAUUUGGAGCCUCAGUACUGGACAGAACCCUAGAAGGAGGAGGCAUCAGAGGUUGAUCAUUUGGAGCUUCAUUACGCGGUACAGCCCCAGAAGACGAAGGCAAUAAAUGCCUUUGGAACAAACCCACAAAUCUCUGAUGAUCAAGUAAAACCUGACCAUCAGUUUCCUUCAUCUGGUCAAGCUUCCUCUUCAUGUUUGUAGCAUAGUCAUGUGCGAGCCGGUGCAACUGUUUAUUCUCAUGCUUGAGCCCUCUAAUCUCCUGUUUGAGACUCAUCACUUCAGCCGCCAAUGAUUCAACUUGGCGGGUUCGAGCAAAUAGGCGUUGGGCCAUAUUAGACACAGAACCUGCACACUGAACACUGAGAGCCAGCGAAUCUUUAACAGCUAACUCAUCAGACCGUUUGGAAAGUAGUCUGUUAUCUUUGGGAGUGAGAAGGUUCCUGGCCACCACCGCAGCGGUCAUAUCAUUCUUCAUCACGGAAUCCCCAACGGUAAGAGGACCAGUUGGGGAGACGAAGGAUGGGCGCCAUAUGUGUUGUCUGGAGAAGGCGGGGCUGCCUCUUCAACAAGGUUCAAGUCAAAACGACGGUCGGAGGGGCCAGACAUUUUCAAAGGUGUUGAAGAGAGAAGAGGUCGGACAAAUCAAGAUCUUAGAAGUGCAAGAAUGAAGCUUCUACUGGUGGAGAUUCAAGUGUGCUUUGGAACUUAAUGCCAGCCUCUAUAAAAAUCUGCACUCGACGGAGCUUCAGAAAUCAAAGAGGCGCCUGCUCAGAAAUCGAAGAGGCGUUUGCUUUCUCAAAAGUUGGGCUGCUUAGAGAUCACGAGGGUUGAUCUCAGAAAUCGAAGAGCCGUUUGCUUUCUCAAAAGUUGGACUGCUCAAAGACCACGAAGGCCGAUCUCAGAAAUUGAAGAGGCGCUCGCUUUCUCAAAAGCUGGGCUCCCUAGAGCCGAUCUCAGAAAUCGAAGAGGCACCUACUUUUCCAGCCUUGUCAGCACCUGUCACACGCACACUCAGCUUUGCGGAAAUUAUGGGCAUUCUGUCAAAGACUUCUGGGGAAGUAGAAAACACAUGAAUCUUACUGUUCAAUCACCCACUUCCCACACGCAACAAUAGCUCAUGGGUACCACAGAUAACUUUGCCAAAGUUCUCUGCCAAAGUUGAGCACGUGAAGCUUGCAGCUCCCACUACAUCGCUCUGACCAAGAAGGGUAAAAGAAUAGCAAAGAAACAGCACUAACAAAGUUUAGACCCAUAAAUUUUGAAGGUCUAGCUACCAUAUUAUUACCCACAAGGGUAAAGGAACAGUACCACUGCUGGAUAAUUGGAAAGUCCAUGUAUGUCAACCUCUGUGCUUCGUGGCAAGGUAGACUAGCAAACAUGCCCAACCUUUACUCACAUUCGAGAAAACACUCCCAAUAUGAUUGCUUGCUCCAAAAUCGAAGAGGCACCGUCCUCCGAAUCUAAAAAGCCAGACUCCCAACAUGACUACUUUCUUAAAAAUCGAAGAGAGGGUAAAGGAACAGUACCAUUGCUGGAUAAUUGGAAAGUCCCUGUGUGUCAACCUCUGUGCUUCGUGGCAAGGUAGACUAGCAAACAUGCUCAACCUUUACUCACAUUCGAGAAAACACUCCCAACAAGAUUGCUUGCUCCAAAAUCGAAGAGGCACCGCCCUCCGAAUCUCGAGAGCCACUCUCCCAACAUGAUUACUUUCUCAAAAAUCGAAGAGACACUGCUCCCCGAAUCUCGAGAGCCAGACCCCCAGCAUGAUUGCUUUCUCAAAAAUCGGUGAGGCACCGUUCUCCGAAUCAAUCGAAGAGGCGCUCGCUUUCUCAAAAGCUGGGCUGCUCAGAGACCACGAGGGCCGAUCUCAGAAAUCGAAGAGGCACCUACUUUUCUAGCCUUGUCAGCACCUGUCACACGCACACUCAGCUUUGCAGAAAUUAUGGGCAUUCUGUCGAAGACUUCUGGUGAAGUAGAGAAAGCACAUAAAUCUUACUGUUCAAUCACCCACUUCCCACACGCAACAAUAACUCAUGGGUACCACAGAUCACUUUGCCAAAGUUCUCUGCCAAAGUUGAGCACGUGAAGCUUGCAGCUCCCACUACAUCGCUCUGACCAAGAAAGGUAAAAAAGAAUAGCAAAGAAACAGCACUAACAAAGUUUAGACACAUAAAUUUUGAAGGUCUAGCUACCAUAUUAUUACCCACAAGGGUAAAGGAACAGUACCACUGCUGGAUAAUUGGAAAGUCCCUGUGUGUCAACCUCUGUGCUUCGUGGCAAGGUAGACUAGCAAACAUGCCCAACCUUCACUCACAUUCGAGAAAACAGUCCCAACAAGAUUGCUUGCUCCAAAAUCGAAGAGGCACCGUCCUCCGAAUCUCGAGAGCCAGACUCCCAACAUGAUUACUUUCUCAAAAUCGAAGAGAGGGUAAAGGAACAGUACCAUUGCUGGAUAAUUGGAAAGUCCCUGUGUGUCAACCUUUGUGCUUCGUGGCAAGGUAGACUAGCAAACAUGUCCAACCUUUACUCACAUUCGAGACAACACUCCCAACAAGAUUGCUUGCUCCAAAAUCGAAGAGCCACCGCCCUCCGAAUCUCGAGAGCCAGACUCCCAACAUGAUUACUUCCUCAAAAAUCGAAGAGACACUGCUCUCCGAAUCUCGAGAGUCAGACCCCCAGCAUGAUUGCUUUCUCAAAAAUCGAAGAGGCAUCGUUCUCCGAAUCUCGAGAGCCAGAUACCACAGACCACUUUUUCAAAGUGCUCUGACAGAGUUAAAACAUGUGAAACUGGCAGCUCCCACUACCGUGCUAUGACCAAGCAGGGUAAAGGAAUAGCAUUACUACUUGUUGUGUUAGGGAGACUCCUAUAUAUGUCGACCUCCAUCCCCAACGGACAGGCAGACCUGCAAAAAUGCUCAACCCUUCAUCAUAUCUGAGAGGGCACUCCCAACAAAACCUUUCGAAAUAUUCAGCUUUCUUUCCCCCCGAUAAUACCUCUGCAAACAAGCUAUACUAGAGCAAGAAUAUCUCAUAUCAUCAGGGUUAAAAGCAAGAGUAUCCCAUAUCAUGCUUUUUUCCCUGUUUUUUCUUUUGGCCUUGUUUUUACCUGCAAGACAAGGAGAAAGAGAGCAAUCAGUCAGCACUUGGAAUCAAGCUUCCAGCCAGGAACUGACUGCCUGGAACCCCUUACCUGAUUACUUACCUGGCAUUGCUCUCGAGUACUCAUCUUCAUCAUCUUAUGUUUCCAGGGAAGAUUUCGCAUCUGCUUGAGGAACAGAUAGGGCAAGUGCGAAGGAUACAAGGAAGCAUGUGGAGACAAGCGUAACAGCACACGUGCCGAUACAUCCAUUACUCUGUCAAAAGCAAAAGUAUCCCAUAUCAGCAGGGUGGAACGUACUCUAGAUUUGAUGGACUUGUUUUGACCCUCAAAUUCUUCAGUCGGCCUUAUACUCUGGAGGAAACCAGAAAACCCUCCAGAUCAGUUCAAGAAUAAGCCUGUGGAAAGUUACUUCUUCAAAAGCAAAAGUAUCUCAUAUCAUCUCUUCUCAUUUUUCUUCUCUUUAUCCUUCAUGCUGCUGCAAGAUGGGGAGAAGGUGAACAAUCAGUCGGAGCUCUGAUUGCUUACCUUGUCUGUCACCUCUUUCAGCAGACCCCCUAGCUCGGCGAUUUGGGGGACUCCUACUACAUGGUUUGUAUCGCGCUUGACCAAGCCUGAAACUACAAGUAAGCUUCAAGUGAAAUUGAUACAUUACCUUGUGCAUCUCCACCAGUUAAAGAUACCACCCCUGGAUGGAGGAAGAGUACUUCCAGAGAAGAUGCCACAUCUACCUAUGAGACAGAUAAGGCAAGUCAAGACGACACCACACUCCGAUACUUAGAAGUUUCGUGAUUACGAGAUCAUUCUCCCACAAUAUUUCCUAAUGUCAUUUGUACUAAAUCAUUCACUCGUACUCACUAAAGGAGAGCUUGAACCUAUGUACUUGUGUAAACCCUUCACAAUUAAUGAGAACUCUUCUAUUCCGUGGACGUAGCCAAUCUGGGUGAACCACGUACAUCUUGUGUUUGCUUUCCUAUCUCUAUCCAUUUAUAUACUUAUCCACACCAAUGACCGGAGCAAUCUAGCGAAGAUCACAAAAAGCGACCGUUUUCGUUACCUAGGAUCUAUCUUGCAAGAUAACGGAGAAUUAGAUGGAGAUCUCAACCAUAGAAUACGAGCUGGACGGAAAGAGUGCAUCCGGCGUGUUGUGUGACCGUCGUAGGCCACUGAAGCUCAAGGGAAAAUUUUAUAGGACGGCAAUAAGGCCAGCGAUGUUGUAUGGCAGAGAAUGUUGGGUGGUGAAGCAUCAACACGUACACAAAAUGGGUGUAGCGGAGAUGAGGAUGCUUCGUGGGAUGUGUGGGCACACGAGAAAGGAUAAGAUUGGGAAUGAGGAUAUCCGAGGUAAAGUAGGAGUAGCCGAAAUUGUAGGAAAUAUGAGAGAAAAUCGGCUCUGGUGAUUUGGACAUGUGCAAAGAAGGCCGACUGACGCUCCGGUUCGAAGAUGUGACUACGGGACAGAGGUUCAGGGUCGAAGGGGUAGAGGAAGACCUAGGAAAACUUUGGAAGAGACUCUAAGAAAAGACUUGAGAGUACUUGGAUCUAACGGAGGACAUGACACAAAACC
rnacentral:lncRNA from 1 species